rnacentral:rRNA from 1 species
CUUAGUGGCAGACGGGUGAGUAACAUGUGGGUAUCUGCCCUUUGGCCUGGAAUAACACGAGGAAACUUGUGCUAAUACCGGAUAAGCCCUUACGGGGAAAGUUUUAUGCACCAUUGGAUGAGCCCGCACUUGAUUAGUUAGUUGGUAGGGUAAUGGCCUACCAAGACUGUGAUCAAUAGCUGGUUUGAGAGGAUGAUCAGCCACACUGGGACUGAGAUACGGCCCAGACUCC